GAUGGUGGACAGAGGAGAAUAAGAAUAUAGCCGAGGCUGACCAAGCGCCCAGGCGGUUCGAGCGCAGCAACUCCUAUACACCCCCGACCCCAGUGAGGCAGGGGCUGUCAUCCUCGUGGCUCCCCCAGAUCACACAGGGUCCAGAGCCCUUCCCCCCCCCCCCCAACCUCCCUCCUUUCCUGCCCAGGGGCUAACAGCUGAGAUUUCGAGGCAGGCCAGGGCCUCUGCCCACCGCACCCUACGCGCUGCAGCAUCCCCAGCGGCAUCGGCGGUGCCAGCGCAAAGCAGGUGCUCAGCAGACGCCGCCCAAGGACCCGGAGGCACCCGGCUGUCUCCCGCAGUCUGCGCACCACGCUGCAGGGGCCGUUUCACCCAUGUCACAGAAGCAGUGGCUCCCCUGAGGUCACACAGCCGGGAGUGCAGUCAGGCCUUGAACCCCGAUCUGUGGUUCAGCCGUCUGCAGAAAACCCACGCAGCCUGGAAGCUCAGAAGAUACUGGCAACAAGCCUUUAACCAGAGAAGACAGCGGGAUGGGCCCAGAGCUUAGGGAAGAGGAAAGGCCUGACCAGCUGGGAGCUCCGUGGGAACGUCUCUUGCCCCCCAACCCCACCCCACCCCAGAAGGUGUCCUCAAGUCUCAGGAAGGAAAAACAGUCAAGCUGAACCCACCAAGACCGUCUCCAAGGGGCCGGGGCUGGCGCCUGGCCAGGACUGACAUCACCUGGGAACUGCCGAGGCCCGCAGCUGCAACACGCCUCCUGGGGGGACGUGCUUUGGCUAUUUUAAAAAAAAUAAUAAUAAUAAAAAAACGUUUCCAGUC